GUCCACGCCGUAAACGAUGAGAACUAGUUAUUGGGGGUAUUGACUCCCUCAGUGACGCAGCUAACGCAUUAAGUUCUCCGCCUGGGGAGUACGGUCGCAAGACUAAAACUCAAACAAAUUGACGGGGGCCCCGCACAAGCGGUGGAUUAUGUGGUUUAAUUCGAAGCAACGCGCAGAACCUUACCUAGGCUUGAACUCCUACGAACCUGUUUUAAUCGACGGGGUGUCCGCAAGGAAAUGUAGUGAGAGGUGCUGCAUGGCUGUCGU
rnacentral:rRNA from 1 species